rnacentral:tRNA from 1 species
GUCCGGAUAGUGUAGUGGCCUAUCAUGAAAGCCUGUCGAGCUUUCGACCCGGGUCCGAAUCCCGGUCCGGGCGC